AUCCGCACCUUGUUUUUCGUGCGUUUCCGUAAAAGACGCGGAAACAUACGAAGAUAACGGUAGGUUUGCGUUUUUUGGUUGCGGAAGAAAUUGGAUUUACAAAUGGAGUUAUAAAUGUUUUAAGGAAAUUUACAGCUAGUUUCGAGUUUCUCGAGUAAGAACUUGGAUUGUAGUAAAGGAGAACUGAAGUAAAACUUGCUUAUCCGUUUAAUCUUCUAUCUAAGCUGUUCAGCCUCGGGUCGCGUGUACUUUUAGCCUGAACACGGAAGUAGAGUGAAUAUGUCAUGAUGUGCCAAAGAAGUACCAGUACUCACAGUAACUCUUUGCCAAAGACUUUGGACGUUCAUAUAACGUGGAAAUCUAGGAAAAAUCAAAUGUUAGAUGUCAGGUCAUCUAAGUGCAAUCAGAUGAUGUUAUUCAACAUGCUGUGGCUGCAUUGAACUAGAAGUCAUUUCAGGAACAGAAUCCAGGGAUCAUAAGAGAAAUGUAUGUAUAGCCAAUGAUGAUGAUACCUGCUGGCCAAUCACUGCCAAAGAAUAACCUAUUCACAGAAAUAUGUCAUCUUUCACACAUAUGGAAUGGAACAUUUUUGCCAAGAUGCUACAUAAACUCUGACACCGAGAAUAUGGCACCUUUCACACAUAUGGAAUGGAAACUUUUUGCCAAGACGCUACAUAAACUCUGACACCGAGAAUAUGGCACCUUUCACACAGUCAUAUGGAAUGGAACAUUUUUGCAAAGACUCAACAUAAACUCUGACACCGAACGUACAUUACGACUAGUAGGACAAUAAUGGUAACAUAAAUUACACCAUGUUAAAAACUCUUGUCUUCGGUAUUGCUGCAGCUGGUCAGAUUUUGGAUUUAAUAAAUGUAUUUCAUGAAGUCACUUACAGGACAGUACCUAUUGUCAAAUUAACUGCGUCAUAUGACAUAAGCCCUGCUAAGUCAUUACUAACACUAAGUCUUGUCAACAAAUAUAUUUAUUGCUUAGACUUUAUGAUUUGAUUUUUGUCGAAAAAUAUGCAUAAUUUCUGCAGCAGAUCCUAGACUAGCGCAAUAUUAUUCUGAGAAAGAACAAAUUCAUAUUUCUGGAUGCAAAGCUAAUUUUCAUUACAAAAAAUUUACAUACACAGAGUUAGAUCUAAUCUUAGAAUUAUUCUGGUAGAUGAAAUAAAUAAGUUCUUUAACCAAAGUAAAAUUGAAAAUUUUGAUAUUAAAAGAUCGAAACAGUGAUGUUACAAAUGACGUCACGUACCCAAUACGAAAAUUGCAUGCCAGUACUGUAAAACCUGCUUAAGCGGUCACCUCUAAUUAGCAGCCAACCUGUCUUAAGCAGCCUGUGUCUCGAUCAUUUCCCAAAAUGGUCAUUUAUUCUAUAAAUUACCUGCAUUAAGCAGCCACCUGCUGUAAACAGCCACUUUUCCCAACACCCUUGGCUGGCUGUUUAAGACAGGUUUUACUGUAUGGAAAAAUGUUGAUGUAUGUAAUUUGCAUUCGCUCGUGCCACUUGGAAGAGUAUAAAUAUGAGUAUGUAAUUCAGGUGUUGAUGUUUUCAAGCUUCUGUUUGAUUUGUCGGUUUGUAAUUUCUUUACUUUUCAAAUAUUACACAUCAUUCUAAAAUUCUUGAGUUGAGGUAGUAGGAACUUUUAUUCUGGAAUUCACUUUUAGACUGGUGUAUCCAGUGCCUGGCUUAUUUUCAUGUUGAAUGAUUCUAUACAGAUAUUUAUGUCGGAACAAUGCUGAAUUACCUGACGAUACUAGUCGACAGCGAUGAAAAUUUCAUCGGAAAUUGCCUCAACUAUUUUGGUCCUUCGAGUGUUUGACGCGAGUGGGGAUAUUGCCCAUAUGAAAAAAUUAUCUCAAUAUUUCCUAGGAUGGCGUCAAAUCAGUUGGACUACUGACUAUAUAUAUAAUCACACGGAAAUGGCAGUCAUUCCGUGUGUACUACAUUAUGACACAGUUGUAAAUGAUGAUGAUUAUUGUUUGAACUUGCUGUAAAAUUGGAGCACUUGCACUUUAGCGGUCCCUAUAAUAAUAGUAGUUUAAUAAUGUCUUAAAUAUUAAAAGUUAAAAGAGGUAACUUUAUUUUGAGAUGAAUAUGUUUGAGGGCUGCCGUCCCCACAUCCCUGCUUUGCCCCACAUCCCCAACUUGCUGCGCAUGCGCAUUGUAAACUUCCGGGGACCACUAAUUUAAAAGUGCAUUCUACCCGUAAAAUAAAUUAUUCUAACACGAUCCGAUUCAUUUUCCUUUUAAAAAAAGAAGACACAAAAUGGUGAAUUAUUAUACAACAAAUCACUGUUCUGACGUCACAGUUAUUAUGUCAUGGCGUCAAACGGCAUAGCGGCGCACUGGAAAAGAAACCGAUUGAAAACGGGCAAAUAUUUAAUGAAUGUUGGCAAGAAUCCUUGGUAACGUGUUAGAAUCGAAAUAAUACAUCUCAAUUAGUGAUUUGCUCUUGAAUAAAUCAUUGUUUGUCGUUCAGAUGCGUAUUAUUAUAUAAUUCGGGCUGCGCCCUCGUGAUAUAAUUCCUUCGCAUCUGAACUCCAAACAAUGAUUUAUUCAACGACAAAUCACUGGAUGAGAUAUAUUAUUUUUUAUUAUAUUCAUUUAUUUCAAAUUUACAACGUUUCACCAAAGAGCUAUAAAAAUAAAUCUGUGUAUUUUAUACUUCUUUGGUUUCACCGAGCACUGGAAUACACCUCGCGGCAAGUGCUGGUUUGACCGCUCUUAGUUGAAUUAAUUUUGUAUUUUAAAUUUGUUUUUAAAGAAAACUCCUGUUAAAAUUUUUUGCUGUUAUAUUCAUUUUUUUUAAAAAUUGUUGUUGUCAAUGUUUUUUAAUCCAGUCUUGAAAUUUGCUCACUGCAGUAGGCUACUGUAUUGUUAUUAUUAGAAAUAAAUUUAUGAAGUGAUA